rnacentral:rRNA from 1 species
AAAGUCCCCUUCGGGGGAUAAGUAAAGUGGCGUCCGGGUGAGUAACACGUAGGUAAUCUACCUUCGGGUGGGGAAUAACCCAGGGAAACUUGGGCUAACACCGCAUAAUGCAGCGGCACCACAUGGUGACAGUUGUUAAAGCGGGGGAUUUUAGGACCUCGCGCCUGAAGAGGAGCCUGCGGCGGAUUAGCUAGUUGGUAAGGUAACGGCUUACCAAGGCGACGAUCCGUAGCCGGCCUGAGAGGGCGGUCGGCCACACUGACACUGACAUACGGGUCAGACUCCUACGGGAGGCAGCAGUCGGGAAUUUUGGGCAAUGGGCGAAAGCCUGACCCAGCAACGCCGCGUGAAGGAUGAAAUCCCUCGGGAUGUAAACUUCGCAAGAAUGGGAAGAAUUAGCGAGCGCUAAUACCGCUCGUGAUGACGGUACCAUUUGUAAGCUCCGGCUAACUCCGUGCCAGCAGCCGCGGUAAUACGGGGGGAGCAAGCGUUGUUCGGAUUUACUGGGCGUAAAGGGCGCGUAGGCGGUCAGCACAAGUCAGUUGUGAAAUCUCCGGGCUUAACUCGGAAAGGUCAACUGAUACUGUGCGACUAGAGUGCGGAAGGGGCAACUGGAAUUCUCGGUGUAGCGGUGAAAUGCGUAGAUAUCGAGAGGAACACCUGCGGCGAAGGCGGGUUGCUGGGCCGACACUGACGCUGAGGCGCGAAAGCCAGGGGAGCGAACGGGAUUAGAUACCCCGGUAGUCCUGGCCUUAAACGAUGGAUGCUUGGUGUCUGGGGUUUUAUAGUCCCCGGGUGCCGUAGCUAACGCGUUAAGCAUCCCGCCUGGGGAGUACGGUCGCAAGACUGAAACUC